rnacentral:rRNA from 1 species
AUUGAACGCUGGCGGCAGGCCUAACACAUGCAAGUCGAACGAGUGGCGGACGGGUGAGUAAUGUCUGGGAAACUGCCUGAUGGAGGGGGAUAACUACUGGAAACGGUAGCUAAUACCGCAUACCAUCAGAUGUGCCCAGAUGGGAUUAGCUUGUUGGUGGGGUAACGGCUCACCAAGGCGACGAUCCCUAGCUGGUCUGAGAGGAUGACCAGCAACACGAGAAAUGAGACGCGGUCCAGACUCCUACGAGAGGCAGCGGUGGGGAAUAGUGCAAAAUGGGCUCAAGCCUGAUGCAGACAUGCCGAGUGUAUGAAGAAGGCCUUCGGGUUGUAAAGUGGUUUCAGCGGGGAGGCGUUACCCGCAGAAGAAGCACCGGCUAACUCCGUGCCAGCAGCCGCGGUAAUUC